UACGGGGGGGGCAAGCGUUGUUCGGAAUUACUGGGCGUAAAGAGUGUGUAGGCGGCUUUGUUAGUUUGGUGUGAAAUCUCCCGGCUUAACUGGGAGGGUGCGCCGAAUACUGCAAGGCUAGAGUACUGGAGAGGAAAGCGGAAUUCCUGGUGUAGCGGUGAAAUGCGUAGAUAUCAGGAGGAACACCGGUGGUGUAGACGGCUUUCUGGACAGUAACUGACGCUGAGACACGAAAGCGUGGGGAGCAAACAGG
rnacentral:rRNA from 1 species